CACUAGUGAUUGGCAUGGAUUAGGCAUGCGAGUCGCGCGAGAAUGUAGCAAUACAGGACAGCGGCGAAAGGGAGAGGACAACAUGGGAAUCUGCCUUGGGGACGAGGAUAGCGUCGGGAAACUGACAGUAAUACUCGAUAAUGUUUGCGGACCAAAGGUGUGAUUCCGCCCCAAGAUGAGCCCGUGCCCCAUUAGCUAGUUGGCAGGGUAAUGGCCUACCAAGGCUGUGAUGGGUAGCUGGUGUGAGAGCACGACCAGCCUCACUGGCACUGAGACACUGGCCAGACACCUACGGGUGGCUGCAGUCGAGAAUCUUCGGCAAUGGACGAAAGUCUGACCGAGCGACGCCGCGUGCGGGAUGAAGGCCUUCGGGUUGUAAACCGCUGUCGUAGGGAAUCAAAUGCAUAGGGGUACUCCCUUAUGUUUGAGAGAUCCUAGGAGGAAGGAGAGGCUAAGCUCGUGCCAGCAGCCGCGGUAAGACGAGCUCUCCAAACGUUAUUCGGUAUUACUGGGCUUAAAGAGUUCGUAGGCGGCUCUGUAGGUGAGAUGUGAAAGCCCUCGGCUUAACCGAGGAACUGCGUUUCAAACCACAGGGCUUGAGGGAGAUAGGGGUAAGCGGAACAGAUGGUGGAGCGGUGAAAUGCAUUGAUAUCAUCUGGAACACCGGUGGCGAAGGCGGCUUACUGGGUCUUUUCUGACGCUGAGGAACGAAAGCUAGGGUAGCGAACGGGAUUAGAUACCCCGGUAGUCCUAGCCGUAAGCGAUGAGCACUAGUCUGAGGGACUCUCACAGUUCCUCGGACGUAGCGAAAGUGUUAAGUGCUCCGCCUGGGGAGUAUGGUCGCAAGGCUGAAACUCAAGGAAUUGACGGGGGCUCACACAGCGGUGGA
rnacentral:rRNA from 1 species